AGCUGAACUGAUCUUGCUAGCUUCCGUCACAGGCUGAAAGCCCUUUGAGGGGGGCUUCUGAAAUUUGGCUGAGAGACCUUGGUGGUUUUGUGAAUUGAAAGAAGAAAAGAAGAUUUUAAACAGUUGUCCUCCAUCUUUCUGGCUGUCUUGAAGUCACAGCUCAGUGAAUAUCCUUUUUCAUCAUGAUUCCCUUGAAGUUGUCCUGGAUCCUUGCUUUGUUGAUAAUAGUUGUCAUUCACAGGUCAGGAGAGUUGGAUAACCUAGAAGAGGCUGCUGAAGUUUUAAGAGAAAUAGACUAGUGAUAAGCCAGAAAAAAUAUUCCAUUAACUCCUACCACUGGUCUCUUCUGAGCU
rnacentral:lncRNA from 1 species